rnacentral:rRNA from 1 species
AACGAACGCUGGCGGCAUGCCUAACACAUGCAAGUCGAACGAAACCUUCGGGCUUAGUGGCGCACGGGUGCGUAACGCGUGGGAAUCUGCCCCUUGCUUCGGAAUAACAGAUAGAAAUGUAUGCUAAUAACGGUUGAAGUCUUAGGACCAAAGAUGUAUCGGCAAGGGAUGAGCCCGCGUAGGAUUAGGUAGUUGGUGGGGUAAAGGCCUACCAAGCCGACGAUCCUUAGCUGGUCGGUGAGGAUGAUCAGCCACACUGGGACUGAGACACGGCCUAGACUCCGACGCGGGGCAGCAGAGUGGAAUAUUGGGCGAUGGACGCAAGUCUAAUACAGCAAUGCCGCGUAAGUGAGGAAUGCCGUAGUGUUGUAAAGCUCUCUGACCAGGGAUGAUAAUGACAGUACCGGGUGAAUAAGCACCGGCUAACUCCGUG